GAGCGAGUGUGAGUGUGAGAGUGACAGUAUGUGUGACCCAGCAGUCUGCCACUGUGAUUAUACAAAACCCUGCGUGCACUCAGUUCUCGUCACAAAUUGAGCUAGCGGUGGUUCCCCGUCAAUGCUCCACCCCCUCCAUUUAUUGAAAUCAGUCUGCAUUCGCGAAAUGGAAUUGGUGGCAUGAUUUGAAUGCUUGCACUUUCAUUCGAGCAGUGAUUCUCGUCUGGGGUGGGAGGUAUGUAUAGGAGAGUAUGGCCUUUAAUACACCCACCCACUGACCCACCCACCGUCCUGAUGAUGACUGUCUUCCUGUGGAAGUUUGCAGCUGUAUAAGCCUGUAGAUGCUUGCACAGACUGCGUGGUGUUUGGAGUGUGAGUAAACCCAGCAGCCGGUCCGUCCACUCCCCUGUCCCACACAGCUGCUGUGGUCAGGGCCGGCGCUGUACAAAGCCCUUCCCCGGCUCAGGUGGGUGAUCCAGACCGACCGACACGGACAUGCCUGGCAAGACCGUGAAGCUCCGAGCCCUGGUCAUCCUCCUCACCAUGCUUCACCGAGCCAGGAGGAAGAAAUACUUAAGAUAAAUUAACCUACAAACCUGUACGUCUUUGAAGUGUGGGAGGAAACUGGAGCACGCGGAGGAAAUCCAUGAAGUCACAAGGAGACCGUACAAACUCCAUACAGACAGCACCCGCAGUCAGGACUGAACCUGGGUCUCUGGCGCUGCAAGGCAGCAACUCGACCGCUACACUGUGCAGCCCUUGUGCUUAUUUUUAAUCUGCGCCUUCUCUAUUAAUGCUACAACUCUGUAAUAGCAUUAUUCUGCACUCUGGCGUUUUUUUCUUUGUACUUGUGUGUAGUUUGACUGUAUUCAUGUAUGUAUGAUUUCACUGGAUAGCACACAGUUUUUUUCCCCCACUUUUUCUCAGUACACUUCACAAUAAUAAACCAAUACU